AGAGUUUGAUCAUGGCUCAGAUUGAACGCUGGCGGCAGGCUUAACACAUGCAAGUCGAACGAUGAUUAUCUAGCUUGCUAGAUAUGAUUAGUGGCGGACGGGUGAGUAACAUUUAGGAAUCUGCCUAGUAGUGGGGGAUAGCUCGGGGAAACUCGAAUUAAUACCGCAUACGACCUACGGGUGAAAGGGGGCGCAAGCUCUUGCUAUUAGAUGAGCCUAAAUCAGAUUAGCUAGUUGGUGGGGUAAAGGCCCACCAAGGCGACGAUCUGUAACUGGUCUGAGAGGAUGAUCAGUCACACCGGAACUGAGACACGGUCCGGACUCCUACGGGAGGCAGCAGUGGGGAAUAUUGGACAAUGGGGGCAACCCUGAUCCAGCCAUGCCGCGUGUGUGAAGAAGGCCUUUUGGUUGUAAAGCACUUUAAGCAGGGAGGAGAGGCUAAUGGUUAAUACCCAUUAGAUUAGACGUUACCUGCAGAAUAAGCACCGGCUAACUCUGUGCCAGCAGCCGCGGUAAUAC
rnacentral:rRNA from 1 species